GACGAACGCUGGCGGCGUGCUUAACACAUGCAAGUCGAACGGAAAGGCCCUGCUUUUGUGGGGUGCUCGAGUGGCGAACGGGUGAGUAACACGUGAGUAACCUGCCCUUGACUUUGGGAUAACUUCAGGAAACUGGGGCUAAUACCGGAUAGGAGCUCCUGCUGCAUGGUGGGGGUUGGAAAGUUUCGGCGGUUGGGGAUGGACUCGCGGCUUAUCAGCGUGUUGGUGGGGUAGUGGCUUACCAAGGCUUUGACGGGUAGCCGGCCUGAGAGGGUGACCGGCGACAUUGGGACUGAGAUACGGCCCAGACUCCUACGGGAGGCAGCAGUGGGGAAUAUUGCACAAUGGGCGGAAGCCUGAUGCAGCAACGCCGCGUGCGGGAUGACGGCCUUCGGGUUGUAAACCGCUUUCGCCUGUGACGAAGCGUGAGUGACGGUAAUGGGUAAAGAAGCACCGGCUAACUACGUG
rnacentral:rRNA from 1 species